rnacentral:sRNA from 1 species
GCCGGGUGCUGUGGUGCUCGCCUGAAAUCCCAGCGUCUUGGGAGGCUGAGGCAGGAGGAUUGUAAGUUCAAAACCAGCCUCAG